CGAAAAGACUCUCGGCAACGGAUAUCUCGGCUCUCGCAUCGAUGAAGAACGUAGCGAAAUGCGAUACUUGGUGUGAAUUGCAGAAUCCCGUGAACCAUCGAGUCUUUGAACGCAAGUUGCGCCCGAAGCCGUUAGGCUGAGGGCACGCCUGCCUGGGCGUCACGC
rnacentral:rRNA from 1 species